rnacentral:tRNA from 1 species
GCUUGAAUGGCUCAGUCGGUUGAGCAUCUGACUUCAGCUCAGCUCCUGAUCUCAAGAAGGCUCAUGAGUUCAAGCCUCAUGUAGGGCU